GAUGAACGCUGGCGGCGUGCCUAAUACAUGCAAGUCGAGCGAACGGACGAGAAGCUUGCUUCUCUGAUGUUAGCGGCGGACGGGUGAGUAACACGUGGAUAACCUACCUAUAAGACUGGGAUAACUUCGGGAAACCGGAGCUAAUACCGGAUAAUAUUUUGAACCGCAUGGUUCAAAAGUGAAAGACGGUCUUGCUGUCACUUAUGGAUGGAUCCGCGCUGCAUUAGCUAGUUGGUAAGGUAACGGCUUACCAAGGCAACGAUGCGUAGCCGACCUGAGAGGGUGAUCGGCCACACUGGAACUGAGACACGGUCCAGACUCCUACGGGAGGCAGCAGUAGGGAAUCUUCCGCAAUGGGCGAAAGCCUGACGGAGCAACGCCGCGUGAGUGAUGAAGGUCUUCGGAUCGUAAAACUCUGUUAUUAGGGAAGAACAUAUGUGUAAGUAACUAUGCACAUCUUGACGGUACCUAAUCAGAGAGCCACGGCUAACUACGUG
rnacentral:rRNA from 1 species